rnacentral:rRNA from 1 species
AUUGAACGCUGGCGGCAGGCCUAACACAUGCAAGUCGAACGAGUGGCGGACGGGUGAGUAAUGUCGGGGAAACUGCCUGAUGGAGGGGGAUAACUACUGGAAACGGUAGCUAAUACCGCAUACCAUCAGAUGUGCCCAGAUGGGAUUAGCUAGUGGGUGGGGUAACGGCUCACCAAGGCGACGAUCCCUAGCUGGUCUGAGAGGCUGACCGGCCACACUGGAACUGGUACACGGCCCAGACUCCUACGGGAGGCAGCAGUGGGGAAUAUUGGACAAUGGGCGCAAGCCUGAGGCAGCCAUGCCGCGUGUAUGAAGAAGGUUUUCGGGUUGUAAAGUACUUUCAGCGGGGAGGCGUUACCCGAAGAAGAAGCACCGGCUAACUCCGUGCCAGCAGCCGCGGUAAUUC